CAGUCCUUUAAAAGAGCGAAAAGGAAGCACAUCACCUUGAUUCCUAUUCCACGUACUCUACGUGAUUAAAGCUGUCUCCCUCCCUCCCCGCCCUCAAGGCGAUUCCUUUCGAUGACAAGUAGGCAGUGGGGUGUGCAGCAGACUUCCUGAGAACACAGAAGGACAUUGUAGUGCUACAUGUAACUCAAACGUCAGGUGGCUGUCUCAGAGCAAGAAUGUAUCCAUCACUGCGCAGCAGAAAAGGCAGGAGAAAGGGUGACAAGAAACAGAGCAUGAACAGCAAUCACUCAGGGCUUUGGAAGACAAACUGGCAGCGUGAUCAAGAUUUCCGUGGCAAUGCAGCUGUCACCUAGCUGAAACACAAUUGGUCACCCUGGAGGUUCAGUGAUGAGCUAAUUUCCU